rnacentral:tRNA from 2 species
GCGUCAGUAGCUCAACGGUAGAGCGACCGGAUUCCUACCCGGAGGAUGCGGGUUCGAAUCCCGUCUGGCGCUCCA